UGAUACUCUGAAUUUGCUGGUCAAG
rnacentral:misc_RNA from 1 species